CACGUAGGAGGCGAGCGUUGUCCGGAAUCAUUGGGCGUAAAGGGCGCGUAGGCGGCAUGGUAAGUCAAAGGUGAAAUCCCUCGGCUCAACUGAGGAAUAGCCUUUGAAACUGCCAAGCUUGAGGCCGGGAGGGGGUAGCGGAAUUCCCAGUGUAGCGGUGAAAUGCGUAGAUACUGGGAGGAACACCGGUGGCGAAGGCGGCUACCUGGACCGGAUCUGACGCUGAUGCGCGAAAGCGUGGGGAGCAAACAGG
rnacentral:rRNA from 1 species